GGAGUUAUUCAAAAUUUUUAUUCAAAAACCUGCGCUAGGAUCUCUGUGUGUCCGUCCACGUUUGGCUGGUGCAGUCCACUGUGAAUUACAGCUGCAGCGAUUUAUUUUGUGAAGUACAGCCGUUGCAUACUUACAAGAUCAUUUGUGUGUCCGUGCACGUUCGCUGGUGAGGGUAUUUUCCCCACUGCAACCUUUGGUUUGGUCAAGUGGAGCCUUUGCAUACUUACAAGUCAGGAUCAUUUGAGUGUCCGUCCACCAAAUGUAAUUCAAUUAUGCUAUUGAACAUGUAAUUUUUAAAUGCAAC